ensembl:lncRNA
UGUAAAUAUUGUUCACAGUUGAGCCAAACAGAGGUCUGGAGUUAUACUUCUUUCUCCAAUUACAGGACUCCUGUGCCGCUGCUGGACAACUCCAAGCCUGAACUUCAAAUGGAUUAACUUUUCUUGUACUCCCCCAAUUAUGUAAAAUCAUGCAACAUUACAAUUUCCUUCGUUUCUAAAUAAUGACUUCCUUAUAUAUUUUCACCUAAAAUAUUGACUUGCUUUUUGGCUUUCUUGCAUCAUUUGCCUCGAUCACCUCCUUCACAUUUUCAGACUCCACAUCACACCGGCCGUGCAGCUCCCCGUCUCCCCAGAUCUCCAUUCUCCUGUUCCACGCUGCCUGGCUUCGUCUCCAGUCUUCCGCAUCCCUGUUAUCCUAGAACUUCUCUUUCUUGUCCUCCCACGUUGAGAUCACUGUCUCCAGAGCCUGUCUUUCUUUUCCUUGGAUAUGCCUUCGUUUUCCUGGAGUACAGUCUCAGGUAACUUCCACUAAAAAGACGUGUAUGGGGGUGAACCAUCUGAUUCCUGCCUGUCUGGAUUUUUGUUUUGUUUUGCUUUCACCCUUGGCUGGGAGUUCGGCUGGUCAUAGUCUUUGAAGGCAUCGCUUCCCUGUCUUCUAGCCUCCACGGUUGCUAAUGCCAGACGGAUUCUCGUUCCUUUGUAAUGAAAUAGUGUUUUCUUCAGCUGAAGCUCUUACAGGCCUGUCUUUCUUCGUGAUCUGAAAUUCCAAGCCGACAAGUCUAGGGGAUGGCCUUCUUUCCUCAUCUUUGGAACACGUGCCAGGCCUUCCUGGAAGGCUGCCGCCGGCUAGAGCCUGCGCAUGCGCAGUCCUCCCUUCCUGGCUCAGGGUCCCUCCCCUCCCACACAGCCUUCCGGUCGCGUGGGAACCUCCGCACCUGCCCAGGUGCGUGCCCCUGCACCGGGCCUCUGGCGGGCGGAGGGGAGGCCCAGGCGUCCCGUCCCGAUCAUCAGGGGUUGCCCGACAGGAGGCGGGAAGCUGACUCCUUACGGACGGGAGUGUGGGAAGCGGCGGGGCACACCGGCACCACGCGUAUCCUCCCAGCACCCUCUGCGCAGCCUAGGCGGGAUCCCGCGAGACCAGGCUCGCUUGGAACGAGUGCUUCCUGAGGACGUGCAGGCCCCUGAGUCGCCCUGAGAGUCAGAAAUUUUAUACAGCGUCUCAUGCACCUCAUCCUGUGUUCUUCCGGGCUGAUGUUCUAGAAUUUCUCCGGAAGGCGAUCAGAAUUGAUUCUCAGAAGAUUGGUGAAGGAAAAAGCUUUGAAGGGUGAUCUCUCUGGGCCAGGCUAGUGGCCACUAUUUGGAAAACAAUGGCUCUCUUCUCCCCGGCAGUUUCCAAGAUGAGAUCGUUUCUCACACAUUCCAAAGAUCACGUCAGUGCGAGAUGCUUCAGGCUGUGGCUCAGUCCUAUUAGGGCAUUUCCAGAUACUAUAAAAUCUAGGAGUCUGUAUCUUCUUUUCCAUCCAAGAAUAAAUCACAGGGACAAUACCCUGAAGUUACAUGAAAAUACACAAGCUGAGGUUCAGCCAAAGAGCCCGACUCACCCAGAAGCGACUGUGCUCAUGCGUCAGGAUGCUUUAUUACACGGCCGAGUGAAGCCAGGUACCUCGUCCUCUCAAGUAUGAAGAUCAUUUAAAUGGAUGGCUGUAUGGGUGACUCCAAUCGCCGAAAUCUGGGAUCAAUUAUGGAAGUUAGUCAAUCCUGAAAUUUUAUUUACUACCUGAUACAGAUGUUUCCCUUCACUUUCAGAUUUCAGAGUCAGCUGGAAAAUUUAUUUAACUCUCUCCCAAGAUAACCAUUUCCAGGAGUAAUUUUUCAUGCCAAGACUUUGCAGCCAUUUGUGUUCUGCUGCAGACCUUGCCACUGCGAGGGGAACCAAAGUUCUGAAAGAACCUGCUGUGAGAAACAACAGGGCAGCUCACUCAGACCCCCUUCCAACCUUAUCUCCUUUUCUUUCUUGAUGAUAGGUGCUAAAAAGUUAAAAAUUCACCUUUUCUGACUGCCUUGCUACUAAAAAAGGUGACCCUAUGACACAGUUCAAGGCAGAGAUAUAAGCAGAAGACUUCUGUGAUGUCCAAGACCAUCUCUGAUUUCCUGGUACAGACACCACUCCUUUCUACCUCCGCUUUCUCUUCUUGCCUGGAUUGCAGACGUGUGGACAGGAGCUGCAGCAGCCAUUCAGGGACCAUGAAAGAGGAAAUCAAGAGAAUUGAAAGAAGUGGACUCAGAUAAAAUUUCAGCCUCUGAACCACCGCCUACUCUGGACUUGCUUCAUGAAGCAAAAAUAAUAAUGAUAAUAGUACGAGUAAACUCAUAUGUGUUUAAGGCUCUGUUAUUCACAACCAAAAGCAACCUUUCCCUUUUAAGUCUGAUAAAUGAGAAGUUAUUAAUCUUCCCUGGAGGGCACACAAUACCUCGGGGGUUGAGAUUAAAUGUUGUCCUAUGAUGACAUGACAAUGUGAUGGUUUCUGCCUAAACCAGUAGUAUGGACUUAAAAGGUACGUACGGAUCCCCAAAGCAAAAAGUCAUCUAAACCCAGUGUAUGUAUCUUAAAUACUGCUUUUAAUUAAGGCCCUAAUCUCGAUCAGUUAGAUUUAUUUUGAAAACUGGUCUAAAGCCAUCACAAUCUGCUCAUUGAGCAAAAUAACCUGUUGUAAGAUCAUUGUUCAUUAUUUAAACUCACUUUUUAAUACUGAAAAGACCUUUGGCCUAUAAAAUUAAAUAUUCUAUAUUGCUUUCUUUGAUCCCUUUCCUAAACAACAGUUCAAUGGUUUCUUGGUAUUGGUGGAAGAAAAUCCUAAAAGGCCUCGUGUGAACUAACCAUCUCUCCAACCUCAUUGAAUACCUCCCCCCGUCCCAGCCGUGUUGUCCUUUCUGUCCUCGGGUCUGAAAGUCCCUACCCUCCCUGGGAUUUUGCCUCAGCAUUCUGUCCCCGCAUCCCCCUAAUGACAGGUUCUUUCCCCUUCUUCAGGCUUUGGUGUGAGUAUCGCCUCCUCAGAGCAGCCUCCCCGACCACCCAAGUACAGCAGCCUCAGUACACAGUUCAUUCCACUCACAGCACCUUCCAAAUCCACCGUUUUAGUCAUUUCCCAAUGAUUUGUUUGUUUAUCCGUCGUCUCUCCUCAUUCCAUUACAAUAUAAAUACAUGAGGACAGAGUUAGCCUAUGUCCUUGAAAAUGUAAGGUAUAGAUCAGAACAUGAAUUGUUUAACGGGUUAUUUCAUUCUUCAGCCAGAUGUUUCUCAGCAUGUCGAUAACAUCUCCAGUUACCUGUCUUUGAGAUCAUGCAUGAAAUCAGCAAGAAUGGUAAUAGCUAGUGGCAAGGUGGCUCUUCCUAUGUACCAGGUAAUGUCAGCGCUUUAUAUGUAUCAACU